rnacentral:rRNA from 1 species
UGGGUAACCUGCCUCAAAGAGGGGAAUAGCCUCCCGAAAGGGGAGAUUAAUACCGCAUAAUAUGUUUAAGUCGCAUGACUUUAACAUCAGAGGAUUUUCUUUUAAAAAUUCCACUUUGAGAUGGACCCGCGGCGCAUUAGCUAGUUGGUGAGGUAACGGCUCACCAAGGCAACGAUGCGUAGCCGACCUGAGAGGGUGAUCGGCCACAUUGGAACUGAGACACGGUCCAGACUCCGUAGGGAGG